CCCUGAGCCGAAGGCAGAUGCUUAACGACUGAGCCACCCAGGUGCCCCAAUUUUUGCUCAAUUUUAAAGUGGAAUAGAAUCGGGUACAAAAUUUGUGAUGGAAAUACAGUCGACCCCGACUUUCUGCUGAUAGUUGGCAGUUUGGCUUUCCCGGCAAAUGCCCUUUCAAGAGAAGUAACAUUUGCUCUGUUCCCUUCCACGGAUGUUGUGCUGUCUCUUGCCAUCCUCCGAGCACCUGACUCUCGUGGAUCAUUUUGUGGCCCAAGCACUUAACCACCAUUUUCACCUAACUGAAGAGUUUGGAGAGGACUGCGCUUAUCACUCCUGGACGAAAGGCUCAGUUUCUUACAUAAAUUGGAUUUGAAGUAGGAGCUCAGAAGUAGUAUUCGCUGAAGAGCUGCUUACGCUCUACUGAGUUAAGACUCCAAGUCCUGUUUCAUUAUUUCAUUUGAAGAAAAGGACUGGCAGUGGCUAGAGCUACAUUAAGAUGUGAUGUGACCUCGUUGUUUUUCUGCUGGGUGAGCCCAGGUGGAGAUGUGUUCUCAGGUUAGUGAAGCCCACCCAGUUGUAACUAUGGCUCCCUGGGGUGGGGUGGGGUGGGGGCGGGGCUGGACUCUCCCCAGAUUGGGGACCUCUUGGAGGGGAGCCAAGAAGACCCUUCUGCUGUGUGGUGUACCAUGCUAGGGGAAGAUUCACUUCUAUUCCUGACAUAAAUUAGACCGAAGAGAGGAAUUUGGUUUAUUGUUUAGUGCUGAAGUUAAAAACCAUUUCUUUCCCAUGUGGUCUCUUAAUUAGAUUCAUUAGUUUCAAAAUGUUAAUUGGAAUUACUGCAGUUCAGCUCCUGAAAGGUUUUAAAUUUAAAAGGAACACCUCAUUUACCGUACUACUGUGUUCUGAGAACUCUACGGUAAUAUUUGCAUCGCAUUUUUUAAUUCAAAUAAUGGAUUAUUAAUUGUAAAGCUUUUUAGACUAAUAAAACCAAGUAUCUACCUUUUUAAAAGAUUUUCACUUAUUAGAGAGAGAGAGCGAGCGUGUGGGCCUGCGGGUGGGGGCGGGUUGGGAGGCAGAGGCCGAGGGAGAGGGACAAGGAGACUCCGCACUGAGCCUAAUGAGGGGCUCCAUCCCAGGACUCUGAGAUCAUGACCCUGAGCCGAAAUCAAGAGUUGGAUGCUCAACUGACUGAACACCCCCCCCAACGCCCCCUGAGUAUCUACUUUAAUUUCUGUUUCUUUCCAGUUUCCUGAUAAGCAUUUUGUAGGAUGUUUCUAUAAGAUAAUUUGGAUGCAAAAAAAUUUCAGCUCCUAUAUUCAGUGUUUUAUUUAUGACAGAGUCCUAAUACCUCAAUACGAAGCAAACGCUGUAAUUGAAACAGAUGAUUAGAGUAACAUAUGGGACAUUUUCUACCUGUGUAAACUCAAAGCUUUAUUCUAAAAAGUCUCCUGCAGCUUUCCUUCCCAGAGUAAAGUGGGUGGUUAGGCCCGAACUAGUCAGAAUAGCAGAUGUUUAUGCCAAUAUUAAUUCUGGAGAAAUCUUUCGGGGUUAAGAGAACAGUUCUUUAAAAGAAAAAUUUGUUUUGUCAUUACAGUGUUAAGAUAGUAGCAAUUUCAAAUAACACAGAAAAUAGAGAUGCUUUCUGUUCUUGGAACUUUUGAAACCAUUUCUUCUCAUGGACAGAUCAGGAAAAUAAGCUUGUUAGCCUUCUUGUAACUUAAAAAAAAAAAAAAAAGAUUCUUUAGAUUUUGCCUAGGAAAAGUGACUGUAAUUUUGUUAGCGAAUUCUCAAAAGUCAGGUGGGGUUUGUGUGUGCAUGUGGGUGUUUAUCUACCCUAUUCCCUCCCGCUUCUACGGGGAUAAUUUUAAAAGCUCAAGGUCCUUAGUCACACAUACGGAAACAAUGCUGUAAGGGGGUAUUUAGAGAAGUUUAAUUUUAACCAGGUACCUUAACUGUAAACAGACAGAAUGACAUCACUUAAGGAACACCGCACUUCAGUGAAUAGAGGCUUUGUCAUUAUUUUUCUAGACCAGAGCACUGAAAGGGAACAUUAAUUGUUAAUAAGGUUCAGGAAUUCAGCUGUUCACCGAUCCGUGUGUCCUGCCUGUGUCUGCAUCGGACUGAGUCCCGGGGCUCCUUGUGUCCUGGGCACCUGCCUUCUCAGUGGGACAGCCUUUCCUUUGCACACCUGGAAGACGGUGCCCACCAUCUGCUCGUGGAGUCCCACUCCAGGUGGGUGGCUGCCUGGCGAUGCGCAGCCUUCCACACACCCGGCCCACCAGGUUCGGCCCACUUCGGUUCCCGCACGUGAUUUCUUUAACUGUUCUUUCAGAAAGUCACAGGGGACCCCUGCAUGGCCAGGUCACUUACAUGGGCAGCCCGCUGCUCAGGGUGACGGGUGUGGGCUGUCCCUACCCACAGCCCUGCGGCGUAGAGCGUACUGGGAGGACGGAUGGCCACCCAGAGCAGUUUGAACGAAUGAGGGGUGACGGCAGAGAAGAGCAUCCAACAGGAGAGAAGUGUGGGGUUCUGUGGGAAUCAAAAGCUGCAGAGAGACCUUCAGUGGGGGAGGUUAGGAGGUUGGAGCAAAGGUAAGAUUAUUAUACCUGCUCCCCCAGCUUGACAGGGUUGAAGGUAGUUACCUAAUGACCCAAGUCCUCACCACCUUUGUUGGACUGUUUUCUCCCAAGUAGGAUGGCCAUGCCCUACCCCAACCCUAGACAUAGCCAUUUUAAUGGGAGAAACGUGUCGGGUACACAUCUAUUUCUAGCUUGGGUGAAGCAUAGAUGGUAUACCUAGAACUAUAACCAGUUCUGUGUGUUUGGAACCUUCUUUGAGUUUUGAGCUCUUUAUACUGUCUUUGGGUGGAAGGAGAUUCCAUAGUGGAUGCAAGAAGGAUGGAUGACACGAUAUCUGCAUAGCUCACGGCAUGAGCGGCUUUUCUUAAGACAGGUGGCUCAGGCAAGGAAAAAUUUCUUAUGGCCAUAGAAGUAUUAGGCUGUUCCAUUAUAAGAUGGAAUGAUGUCAAGAAAUACCUGGCGUAUUUUUUUAAAUUAUCACAAAAUAUUCAGAAACAUUUUUAGGUUUAGGUAUUAAUUUGUUCAAGUUAGCGAUGUGCUGAGUCAUUAUGACCUGUUGAACUACAGCUGAUCUUCUGGUAUUUGCAAAUUCACGUACUCCCUCACAUGUAUUUGUUACCAUCCCCAUACCAGUCCUUGCGUUGCUUCCGAGGCCAUUCACAGACCUGCACAGAGCAGCGGUGAGAACUUUGAGUCCCCCACUGUGUGUGUUCCCAGAGGAGGCUGAAUGAGGUGCUCAGCCUUCUGGUUUCAGCUGUCAUUGUCAACAGCUGUCCUCAUGGUCUGUGUAGAGUCACCUUUUCCACGUUUCUGUGCUUUUUACUGGUGAUUUCAAGGUUUCAGAUGGCCCCCAGGUGUAGAUUUGGAGUAUUCUCUGGUGUUCCCAGGCACAAGAACACUGGGAGGUGCCUUAGAAAAUAGGUGUGCACGUGAGCUUCGUUCAGGCAUGAUUACAGUGCUGUUGGCCGUGAGGUCCGUGUUAAUGAAUCAACAAUAGAUGUGGAAUAAGGUGUCUUUGAACAGAAACACAUUGAACAAGGUUACACAUUGAUGGGUUGAUAGGCUGAUGAAAACGCUGUGACCAGAAGCUUGUAGGAACCUAACCCUGUUUUUCUCCUAGGAGCAGUGGUUAAGUAUUUGCUAAAUAAGCAGCAAGUUUACAGAACAGACUGUAGCAAAGAAUGAGCAUCAACUGUAAUUUGGUUGGAGGAACAUCCAGGUUCAGCUAUUAUGUUUUUUGUGUUGCCGUGUUUCAUAAAACCUCUAAUAAGCAGAGAAAUAGGAAUUUCCAGGUAAGUUUCACACAAAUGAUACAGAUCAGGUGAUGUGUGGAUGGAUAUUUAUGGGACAGCUUCGCCUUUGGAAGUAGGUGAGCAUAUAUGUUCCUUUUUAAUCUUUCAGGUCUUUUGGGGAAAAUGAUCUCUUUGAUGGUGUGGUACUUCUUUUACUUGACAUGUAGCCCCGAGUUGAGCCCUUUGUCCUUGCCAUUGUGGUGGUGGUGAUGAUGAUGAUGAUGAUGAAGAAGAAGAAGAAGGAUGAUGAGUGCGGAGGAGCUCUUGCCUGGAUGCUGCUGCAGAAUGCUUUUGGGAUCGGUCUCAGGAAAUGACCAUAGCAACCCUCUGACUCAGAUAUUCCCAUCUGGCUCAGCAACGAUACGGCUUAUUGGUGACGUCAAGAUGAUGAUGCAAGGCAAAAACCAGGUUCAAAUCCAGCUGCUGCCACUUUUUAACUGUGACCUGAGGUCUGCCAUUUGUGAAAUGAGGCUAACAGUGUCUUGCACGUGGCCGUGAGGCUUAAAUGAGCUCGUGCAUGUGGUAACGACAUGCGGCUUUCGACGCGCUCAGUCUGCAUACAGCUGCUGCUGGGGCCCAAGGUCACACCACAAGGACACGUUGAACUCGCUUCCCAACCCGCAUGCGCGUUGCUCUUACCCUUUCCCCCCGUGACCGUCCUAGUCCGUUCAAAGCACGUUUCUGUGUAAACCGGGCCACAUGGUGCCUUGGUUUGGGCUAACAGAUCCAGUACUGGGUGGAGGCAGACUUUCUGGCGUUGGGCUCAGAACUCGUUGUGUGUGGGUGAGGGGACGCACGCACGUUUUGGAAGUGGGAUUUGGAACAAACUGAUCUGUGGUUUUGUCUCAUUCUUCAUAACCUCAAAAUGGGGCUUAUCAGAUGGUUAUGAACAUCUUCGAAAAUAACUUCCUCUAUUGUCCACAUGAUCAUCCAGUUGUUUGCGUUCUGAGACCAUCUCAGCCUACCUCUUGUUCUGGGAAGCCUCUCGGGGUCUGGGCAAAGUGUUGAUUUGAGGGGGCAGUUGGUAAUGUGUGGGCAUCCCGGAAAAGCCCUGGGCCCUCCUCCCCAUCCCCAAACAGCUGUCUUGUCAUGAAACACUAGCGUGUGCAUCAUUGGUGUUUGUAUUGUUGUAGCAUUUUCCGUUUGGAGAGCUGAGCCUUCCGACCUCGUUCCACUCUUAGCAACUUGCUUCUGAACAAACCGCUCACCUACAGGGGGUCUCCGUUCACAACAGUAGGUCAUUUGAGUUGGCAGGAGUCCCUACAAAGUGACCUAGAUCUUCCCUGUGAAGUUAGGCAAUCCCGGGCACACAGUAGGUGCUCAGUAAACAGGAGGCAUUCGGUCUCUGUGAGAUGGACACGAAGCUAUUGUAGGAAUUCUGUCUGUUGCAUCUGUAUUGAAUUUAUUAGCGAGAAAGGUGUUUUUCUGCCUGUGUUGCUCUAAAUGCAGAAUGAGAUUUAAGCCAGAGAAGCCUAAUGCCUAAUAGUUUAGCCCCGGUCAACUGUUUACACACUCAGCUUCAGCCUCAGCAUAAAUAGCCUUACCGUGAAUUCACAAGAAAUUGCUGAGAAUUCAGGAUCCUAGCUCACUGCUGGGAUUAAUUUCUUUUCAACAGACUGAGUGUCUAGAGAAUAUCCAUAAUGCUAUAAAUGAAAACAUAUGUUCAUAGAACCCAUGGCAGUGGGGAGAUGGGAAAAGUAAGCACGCGAUUUUCAGGAACCACUUCAUGGGCAAGAGUGCUGGCUUUCUCAGAUCUGUACCUCCUAAACAAAUAAUGCAAUAUAUGUUAAGAAAAAAAAAAAAAGAAGAGUGCUGGCUUGGCUGCAGCUGGGGCUAUGAAAAAGCUGGAAUCAGUACAAAGUUUCUUUUAUGGCAUCCUAUCCCUCUCUCUCUCCCUCCCUCUUUCCCUUCCUCCCUUCCUUCCUCCCUCCCUCCUUCCCUCCCUCCUUUUAUGUAAAUAAAAAAUUUCGCAUUGAAAAGCCAAGGAAGAAAUUCUUAUUUCUAGGAGAGAUUUUUGAAGCGAUGACUCUCUCUAUGAAUUUAGCUUCAUUUGAGAAAUGAGAUUUUGGGUGUAUGGGGGAAACGAGUGGCGAGGGCUCUUUUUAGACUCCUUUCGACCACCCUGAAUAAGCUCAAUUAAUGGGCAAGACAUAAAACGUAGGAAGAUGUUGGUUUUGCAGUUUUUCUUGUAAAUGCAAAAUGUUUGCUUGUGUAAUCACAAAAUGCACUGAUUUGCUGAUAAUGUAAAAUAUUAUGAAGCCACUCUUUUUAAUUGAAUUUGCCUUCAUGGGUUGGUUUUGAAAAAUAUUAGUAAUGAGAGAGAAAUCUGUAUUUUGUUUGUUGUGUGUUAUAUAGUCCUUCUACAUAGCAGAUUGCUUUUGGAGUUACAUCUUCAGCUUUUUUAAUGGGGGAGAAAAAAAAAAAAAACUUCAGAAAAUCCGUUUCCUCGCUUGUGACCAUUCAUGACCUUUGUAGAUUUCUUGUAGCCCAUGUCAGGCAGAGAUCACGUGGAAAAGGUCUCUUACAACUUCCAAGAAAAGGAAGGGUCGGUAGUACAAGCAUUUAGUGGGAAUUGUGUCAUUGUUUGAGUAUCUUCUAGCCUCCGUCCCACCCCCCAAAUCCAGAACAGUCUACUUGAAUACAAGAAGCAUCACUAAAACUUAAAACAACAGCCCUUCUGGUGGGCAAUUUGGCAACUGGUCAAAAAUCUUAAAAAUGUGCUAGCUUUGACCCAGCCAUUUCAUUUCUAGGAAGCACUCUCACAGAGCUAAUAAAAAUAAAAGUCUAUCGAACGAUUUCAUGAAAGUGAUGAUAAAACCGUAAGUUCACUUAAAUGAUCGUUUAUUUGUACACAGAAUUCUAUGUAACUAUUAAAAUGUUGGUAUUUUUAUUGCAAAUUAAAUACAUAUGUUAUACUGUAUUUUAAUGAAUCAAUAUUUGGAAUCUGAGGGAGGCUUUUUGGUAUUAUGUUAUUCAUUCUGAGUUUGAAACCAAGGGAGCUCUGCAAAUUGUGUGCAUGGUAGAGACAGAACAGAGAGUGGUGGUUGCCAGGAAUUGGAGGGAGGGGGGAUGGGGAGUUGGUGUUUAUUGGGCGCACUGGUGCUCUUUUGCAGGAUGAAAAAAAGUUACGGAGAUGGUGAUGAUGGUUGCAUAACAGUGAGAAUGUGCUUAAUCCCCCAAACUAUACACUUAAAAAUGGUAAAUUGUAUGUAAUUCUACCACACAUUUUUCAGAAAAGGAAAUGUGAUAAUAAAAAGAAUGAUUUUAAAAAACGUAUGGGUGGGCAUCACUCACCAGGUUGAAAAGUUUCCUUCAGAAAGCAAAACUUUCGUUUUCAGUUGUAAACAUUUUUAUUUUAUUUUUUUAAUAAAUUUAUUUGUUAGAGCAUGAGAGAGUGAGUGUGUGUGAGCGUGGGUGAAGGGCAGAGACAGAGAGGGAGAAUCUCAGGCAAACUCUGCACUGAGCAUGGAGACUGAUGUGGGGCUUAAUCUCACAACCCAUGAGAUCAUGACCGGAGCUGAGUCCAGCACUUAACAGACUGAGCCACCCAGGUGCCCUGUUGUAAACAUUUUUAGUGUGUAUCACUUGAAAGCUCCAUAUUUUUUUCAACGCCCUCAUUCUCCCAUUAUCAACUGAAAAUAUGUAUCAAAAAUUUCUUAACAUCAUUGAAUGCAAAGGAAAGCCUUUUGAUUAGAAAAGACAAUAUUUGUUCUUAACUUCCUCAAGCUUUUUUGGAGAUAGAAUCAUCUGCGUAUUUGGAUCGGCCCCAGCCUUGACUGUGUCAGUAAUCUGAUAUGAUAGAAAUGUGUUCUGGAAGCUUUUGGAUGUGGUAGGAUUUUCCGAAGGGCGAGGGGGAGAGUGUGAUGGGGUUUGUUAAUUUUUCUUCUCGGCAUAGUCUAAUCAGUGUCAAAUUAAAAAUACAUAUUUUCCGGAGCGCCUGGGUGGCUCGGUCGUUAGGCGUCUGCCUUCGGCUCAGGUCAUGAUCCCAGGGUCCUGGGAUCGAGCCCCGCAUCGGGCUCCCCGCUCAGCGGGAAGCCUGCUUCUCCCUCUCCCGCUCCCCCUGCUUGUGUUCCUGCUCUCGCUAUCUCUCUCUCUGUCAAAUAAAUAAAUAAAAUUUUUAAAAGAAAUACAUAUUUUCCUUCUCAUCUUGGAUUUUCAUUACCUUCUCCUCCUCUCCUGCCUUCUUGUUCUUUAUGUAUCUGUUCAAAUCCUUCUUUAAGAACUCCAGGGAUGCCUUGGGUGAGCAUCUGACUCUUGAUUUUGGCCCAGCUCAUGAUCUCGGGGUUGUGACAUCAGGCCUCACAUUGGGCUCCACGCCCAGCAUGGAGCCUGUUUAAAAUUCUCUCUCUCCUUCUGCUCCUCUCCCCGCAGAAUUAAAAAAAAAAACCCCAAACUGCAAUUGGCAUGUGGCUUGGAAGAUAUCCAAGCUAAAACGUUCGCUCUAUCAGAAUCUGAUGUUUUAUUCAAUAUUCACCUAAUUAUUAGGACUUGAUGAGCUCAGGCUGUGAAACCGUCUGGUCUUUCUACGCUUUUGCCUUUUAAAAACUCUGGUAAUAGUUUAGAAGAUCAUCAACCGGUAUGGUUUUGCAUCGGGAUGGGUCAAUACAUCUUGAUAAUGCAUUAGACCCCUGAGCAUCAUGCUUACUAAUUUGUGGCCUGAAUCCGGUAUCAUUCAAUGUGAGAAGGUAAAGCUUCCAAGAGUGCAGGUUUAAGGGGAAAAACCUGAGUGUUGGCAACGAAGAAAGCCAAAGACCAUCACCAAGCUGUCUGCCAAGCCUCUCACUCCACCGGCAUCUCCUAUCUUGCCCUCAGGAUGAAGUGGCAAUUUCUAGAUAAGCAGCCCAGGAGUAUUGCCACCUAGUAGGAUUAUUCAUGUGUAUUUAUGUGAUUUUAUUUGGGAAUUAAUUCAGGAAUUAAAAUGUUCAUUUCCGGGUUUUUGUUUGUUUGCUUUUGGUAAUAGUACACCUCUGCUAGUCUAUAAUUAGUCUUAGAAUGUGUUCUGUGAGGAGCAUCCCUGCAGCCUGUUUUGGUACCCACCUGCCCCCCAGUGUUGGGCCCCCCUAGUUUAGGAGGAAUUGGAGGUUUGUGUCCCCAAGGUUUACUGGCUUCUGGAAGCUCAGACAGACCUUGUCACCAAGUUUCACAGUGUUUGAUUAUAAAUAUGGCAGCAUUUAAAAUUCAUAUUCCAAGAUGGUUUCUUGAAAACUUGAUCUCUUAUACACUUUAAAGAAAAGAGGAAGAAGUUCUUGGUGUAAGUCUUGGCUUAAGCUUCAGACCAAAGAUUUUGGUUGGAUGGAGGGGGGAGGGGUCUGGGAAAUAAUCCAAGGGCCAAAGAAAUGGGACGUUUAAAAAAUACCUGGAAAGGUUGUGUGUGUGUUGGGAGGAGCUGUGUGACUUUGGGCCAGUUACCUUUGAACUUCAUUUCGAAUGUUCAUAAAACGGGGGAAUUGGAAUAAUCCUUCAGGCUCUUUCUGGCUUUUAACCCUCUGGACUGUGUUAGUAAACUCCUGCAUGUGCUGAUGGGCAGUCUGUUCCAAGGAAAAGUUUAGAAGAACUAGUCUUUACAUGGGGGAAAUGCGGUUAAAAAAACAACACUCAGCAAGCUUCAUAAUACAAUUUUUACUUGAUGAUCCUCUUACCUUCUGAGUGCCUUAUUGUCUGCUCAAGGGAGGGGGCACUUUACUUUUAUUAAAACUGUUAUUAAUAAAACUUCCUCCAGGCUCCAGGUCUCUUCUGCCCCUGAGGAUUUUUGUGCUUCUAAUGUUAGUUGACUGAAUAAAUUAUUUGUGACUUUGGACGCUAGCUGACCCCAGGGGUUCUGGACACGAGGGAAAAGUAUGUUUGGUCACUCAUUACUCAUCUAAAAUGUAUAAAGCUGGUCUUUUUUUUUUUUAAGAUUUUAUUUAUUUAUUUGACACAGAGCCAAGCAAGCAUAAGCAAGGGGGAGAGGCAGAGGGAGAGGGAAAAGCAGGUUCCCCACAGAGCAGGGAGCCCGAGGACUCUGGGAUCAUGACCCGAGCCGAAGGCAGACACUUAACCGAAUGAGCCAGCCAGGCGCAAAGCUGGUCUUCUUUUUUAAAGCUACUCCUUUUUAAUUAUGUUGGAAGUCACCUUUUGCUGGUUGGUCGGUGAAACGCUGCUCUGUUUAAAUGUUUCUUUGCCCUCCUUCAACUUAUUUCAUUAAAAAAUACCAGGCUCAAGCCGUGUAGCCACCUGCAUCCUUUCUGGGUUCAGCCACUCCCAGUAUUCACUGCAUCCCGGAUAAACUCUGCAGACAUUGGAAAGGUCAAGGUCAUGGUACCCCAAGGUCUGGGACUCAGCCCAGCUCAAUUCUGGGCCCGGGAAAGCAAAACAAUGCCAGUAGACCUCAACCUCACCUACAAGUGCUUGUUUUCUUAACACUGCCUGGACUCCUUCCUUCUCCACCUGCCUUUUUAGGCCCUUAUUCUCGAAUGCCACUGCUUUAGCUCGAGUUGCUUUCUCUUGUUCUCCCAAGGCAGGGAGUUCUAACAUGGAAACCGUGUUCUGAUUUCAGUCCCCCUGACCUGCCAAGAAGCUGACCAGUAUUUGAAAUUGAUUUCUUCUCCUGCUGCUUGCCAGGUUUACCCGGCCAAGCACAGUGUUAAAUGAGGCCACAGACAGGAUGCAAAGGGCCAGGCACCAUCCCAGAGCCCUGCUGGCCGGAGAGCGUCAAGGCCCGCAAUAUUAAUCAGUUCUACGCAGGCCACAGAGGAAGGCUCUGGAGGAUCCAUCGAUUGGAGGCUUAGGUCUCCAUGUAAUUCCUGCACUGUUGUGGGGGCAUUUUAGGAGGGCAUCUGGGACACAAGGACAGAUGGGUGUGGUGGUUUUCCAGGAGGACAGGAUGAGAUUCUGAGAUUCCCACCUGAGGGGGGAGCGUGUGUGGUCGCCUACCUUUGUUUUAUAGGGGAGGCCCCAGGGGAGAGAGGAUGCUGCACCCAGGGUCCCAUGGGGAAAGUGCUGGUCCUCACUGGGGUGUUUGCAGUGCUGGGGAGUUACAGUGAGCUGGCCCAUCCUGGGAUGGGGGUGGGGUGGGAUUGCUGCCUUCCAGAAAGAAACCCUGCUGUCUGCAGUCAAAUUGCUCUACCCCUGAGCUAUGCCCCCAAGAAAUCCUGCUGUGUCUGCCUGCUUUCAUCUCGCAUGGAUGCAGCCUUUCCUUCCACACCCUCUUACUCACCAUGUCCCUUCUCGGAUGAGGCAACAUUGCUCCCUCCCAGAGUGAAAUCCACUUCCAUAAAUCUGCAGGACUCUGUGCUUCUGUGCUGGGGAGCUUUUUUGUUUUGAAUGGGAUGAGGACGGUGGAAAAUUGUGUGUGGGAAGGAGUUUAUGGUGUCAUAGGAAGAACAUAUUUUGAUGUUUGUUAAAAAUACCUAUAUAUAUAUAUGAGAGUUUGUAAUAUGGAUGCGGUCUUUUUGAUACAUAGCAUGCUUGUGUGGGAGGUGGGGAAAAGAAGGAAAAAGAAGCGACACAUGGGUGGAUGGUUUCAGCAGCCCUCCUCUGUGCUGAUUCUGCUUCCUAUAGGUUGAUACCCUGUUAUUCUUCUUGCCAACUAUUCCUCUUCCUCCAGGCUCCAAACGUGCUGAUUUUAGAGACACUGAGGCAGCUGGAGGGCAGCUUAUGAUUGUGAUUUCCCUCUGCGUGGGAUGAGGUGAUCAAGUGUUUUUUCCAUUUAAGAUCAUGGAAAUCGGAGCUCAUUGAGGGGACUAGGACUAGCAAAGAUCUCCAGUUAAAAUGAAGAGAUGGAAUUAGAGAUGUAAUGGGAACUGGUCGUUCCAAGCAUAGGUUCAUGGAAUUUGUGCAUUUUGCAUUGACUGGGGGUAGCCUGGUAGCAUUAGCAGCAUUGAGUUAAUGUGUUAAAAUGGCAUUCUGAUAGCUAUUCACGUUGCACGUGAAUUUUAGGUGGAAUCUUUAUUGGGACAAAGGAAAAUACAGCCAAUAAUCUGUGAGACCCAAGUGAAUUUUCCAUAAUCCUACAGUUACCGUUCACCUGGCUGAAGAGGAGGUAGUGGGUAUUUUUGGAGAAGCCACGUAUUACCAUGGUGUAGUGUAGAUUGUGACAUUCCUAAUGAGAGGUGUUAGCCAAGUGUCCCAGACACUGUAACCACUAACACAGUUUCAUCUUCAACAUUUUUUUGUUUGCAGUGUUCAUAUCUAGAGAGAAUCUCUAUCGCUCAGGAGGAUAAAUACAAGGAUAGUUAUUAACUGAAUUGAUCGUCAGGAGUAGAAUUGCAAACAACUUAAAAUAUCCAUAAACAGGUUGGAUAAAUAGAAGAUGGUGUAUUUAAACCAGUACUGUGCCAGAGUUAAAUGAGUGAGCUGUGGUUCUAUAAAUCAAAACAGAACUCAAGAACAUAAUUUUGAAUGAUAUGAGUAGGGUUUAAUUUAUACUUAAAAAUCAUACCUACAAAGAGCUCUCUGUAUUUUCGUAGGGGGGUGUGCAUGUGUGUAUAGAAAAAUAUAUUGGAAAGACACACAAAUAGGAAGAUAGAAUGGGAACAAUUUUAUUUGAGGUUUUAUUUCUACUUAUUUAAAAAAAAAACCUGAGCCAAAUGUGACAAACAUUGUCAUUUCUGGCUGGUGGAUAUAUGGUUACUCUUUUAUCUGACUCUGUUUUAAAAGCUGUUCUCAGAAAGUUUUCAAAAAAUCUAUGGUGGUUCAAAAGUCAUAAAAUAUUGAACAGUAUAAGAGAAAAAUCUUACGAUCUCCUAUAAAAGUAUAUAACCUUAUGCGUUGUUGACUAGCGGUUGCUCUUUGAAGGAAUUUCUUCUAAGGAAUGGCUCAGUCUAUGUGCAAAAAUCUAGCCUCCGUGGUGUCCGGCCGUAUGGGAUUGAGUAAAUCAUGGCACAUCCAUCAUUCAAAAUAUCCUUAAGCAUUAUGUGAUAUUUAUCUUCGUAGAAUUGAUCUCCUGUUUAUGACUCUGAACCUUUUAUACUGUGACAUUCUUCCAGGGGUUGUCAUUUUCACAUUUCUUUUUUAGGCCUUUCCCCUAACUUUUUUAUUAGUUAUCUCUACCUGGUUUGGAAAUAAAGUGACUUCUGUUGUAAGCGUUGGCACAUCCUUGAUUCUAACUUUGACUUAGUCACAGAUUCACUGGUGACCUUGGAGAAAACCCCUCCCUUCAUCCUCCAGUGAGGUACCAUUCAUGGAGCCCUGGGCCCUGGAAGGGGAGGGCCAGUAGAGCAUGAGGCAGGCUUUAGCCCAACUCCCGCAGAGCCCUCGGCCUGCCUGCCUCUGGUAUGGUUUCCUAAUCUAUGAAAUGAAACUUAAGAAUACCUGCCUCAUUGCCCACAUGUGACUCAAGGAGCAUCCAUCUUUCCCUUAAGUUUUCCCUCCAGUGAAAGCGGUCUGUCUCUGGUCCCCCAAAUACAUUACCCAGUGUGCUAGGGCAGGACCUUUGUAUAUGCUGUUUUCUCCUUCUGGAAUGCCUUCCGCAUGCUCUCCCCUCUUCCCUACCCCCAUCUUGAAAGCUAUUCCCCCUCGAAACCUUGUUGAGACAUCAUUUCAUUUGGGAAGUCCAUGCCAUCUCUAGAUCUAAGAUGUGAUUGUUAUUGAGCCUCGCAAAGAAUAUUGUUAGGACAGGUGACUCUUGACCAACGUAGGAGAAACUGUGGAUUAACUUAUAUGUAGAGGCUUUUUUUUUUUUUAAUACAGUACAUAUUAAUGUAUUUUCCUUAUUGUCUUACCAUUUUUUCUCUAGCUUACUUUACUGUAAGAAUACAGUACAUAAUAUAGCAUAAAAAAGGUGUUAGCUAUUGAUGUUAUCGGUAAGGCCUCCAGUCAACAGCAGGCUAUUAGUAGUUGUUUGGGGGGAGUCAGAAGUCAUAUACAGAUUUUCAGCUGUGUGGAGGUUGGUGCCCUUACUCCCCGUGUUGUUCAUAGGUCAGCUGCACUUGCUUACAUAGCCCCAUCCCCGCCGGGCGUAGCUCAUUGAAGCCAAGAUGCUGGUCUUUGUUAACAUUAUAAUCCUAUGUGCCAAACACAGGCCCUGGUGCUUACCAAACGCUCAGAGUGUUUGUGGAAAUGAACUGAAUUGAAGGCACUUUGAAGAGUUUACCGGGCUCAGCCUAUGAAAGGUGGUAUCAUUGAAUGUGUCUGAAUGUAGUGUUUUGAAUCCCUGGGUGUGUCCAGGUGUUGGACAACAGAACGCAAUCCUUCCGUGUUAGUGAUGCUGGAUGCAACAUGGCGCACACGUUCCUCCUGGUGAAGAUGUAUCCCUAUUCAGCUGUUUAGGUAUGUAAUGUUAGGGGGUUUUAAUUGUGCAGCUCAUGAUGUGGCAUUGUAAAGCUGAUUAUUUCUACCAUAUUUUCAACAACCUAUGUAUACUGGGCUUCUGUUCUGCUUGAGGCUCUGGAUCCUGUGGGGGUGGGGUUGGUCUGAUGGUGGAGGUAGAUGAUGUCAGUAACGCCCUGUGUGAGGCCAAACAUCAGAUGGUGCACUUCGACUAGUUGAUACUUUCUGCGACAGCUUAUAAAGCUCUGUGUCCUACCAGAAUAACCCCUUGGUUCCCGAGAGUGAUGGCAAUCAUUCUGUGUGACAGGAAAAAUAAGCUAAAAACAACCAAAUGACUUUUAAGUGCUUUUUUCCAUUUUUUUUCCUAGCAUGGCUGACUAAUGAGGGGAAAAUUGGUGUCAAGGGCAUGAAAUUAAUAGAUGCCAUUUGCGCCAGCUCAUUCCUUUAUAGAUAAGGAGAGAGACCUAGUGAGAACAAGUUACCGAGAGGUUACUACUUAAAAUGGUUCUCCCGCUCACGUUAGCAGUGGUUUUUCACAUUAUUUGAUUUUUCUGUUAAAUCUAUCUGAAAGGCAGAGAGAGAGAAGAGAGGGGAAGCAUUCAUCUUAGUGUCAAAGAUCUGGGCUUAAAUCCCGGUUCAGCCACUUACUAGCUGUGUGGUCUUGGGCAGGUUUGCUCCAUGAGCCUCGUUGUCCUUCUCUGUAAAAUGGGGAUAACAAUCCCAACUUUGUCCUUUGAAGGAAAUGUAGAUAAGGCACCAGGCCCAGCACACUGUCCACAUGAAAUUAAUCACAGCUCCUAUCAGUGAAGCUCGGUCAUUAACACAGAGCUUACUCAUUUGCUUGGUUGGUGGCGAAGUGAGGAUUUUAGGUUAGUCAUGAGUCACUCUUUGGAAUGGCCACCUUUUGGAAAAUUUUCUGAAGUCCCAGAUUUCAAACCAGUUUCCAGAAUUUCCAGAUGUUCCAUGUAGAUUAAUGAAUAAAGCCACCCCACCCAGGAUGCUCUUUAUUAAUAAAACCCAUCGUUGAAAACUAUAAAAGGAUGGACUUAGAGGCACAGAGAAGGAGCUUAUUUUAUGUAGGCAUUCAACACAGUAAUAUCAUAGGAAGAAAAAAAUGUUUUUGUGUAAACGGUGAAUUUUAGCCACAGGCCGAUUCUGCAACAAGGGGCCGCUAUGUUUUCUUAAAGAAUCCCUCGCGCUCUGACCUGAUCCUUUGGUUUUUUUGUGGCCAAAGGUCAGGCUGAAUCCAGUUGUCCUUGGGACUUGUCUUCCUGGGUCACAGUCUUUGAGAAAACUUGGCCUCUCUACCUCCAUCUGGUUAUUGGUGUGGACAUAGGAAGUGUGAGUUUGGAAAUGGAGCCCAUGUUUCCUUUGAUGGUGACAAAAAUGCUUUCAGAGCCCAGCCUCGUGGCCCCCAGACUUUUUGGGUCAGAUCUGUACUUGGCUUUUUCCUGAGCCCUCUGCUUCAUCCAGCCCCUUCCCAGGCCAGGACGUUUCAAUAUGCAUUCUCCUAAAGGGCUUUGCGGAUGGCUGCUGAGGGCAGGUGGGGGUCCCGUCUUCAAAUCCAGUUUUCCUCUGCAGGGGAGGAUUCCGGUUCAGUAGACUCACAGCCCAAAGGGAUGUGCCUCUCCUUUCGUCUGAGGGCCACAGAAAUAUGACAGGAAUCCAAGCAAUGUCUGUGCCCUCACACGGGACGGCGACUGCCUGCGUAACUGUGGCCUCGAUGGAAACUGCCAUCUAGUGAUUUCUGAUGGCAGGUUUCUAGUCAUGUUGGGUUAACAAGCAAUACAUCUCACAUCCUAUUUCCGAAUGAAACCGAGUGAUUCUGUCAGGGACUGCAAAUGAUAGGUCACACACCCCAGCUUCGGCCCACCAGCCAGGAAUGGUCUUACUUUUUUUUUUUUUAACUUAAAACAGUUUUUAAUUAUGGCAAAAUACAUAACCAUUAAAUGUCCCAUGUUAACCUUUUUUAAGUAUAUAGCUCAGCAGUGUUGGUUAAAUUCACAUUGUGGGCCACCAAUUGCCAGAACUUUUUCAUCUUCUAAAGCCGAAACCAUAUUUCAUUUGCCUUUUUAAACGGUUGAAAAAGUAAAAAGGGGGGGCGCCUGGGUGGCUCAGUUGGUUAAGCAACUGCCUUCAGCUCAGGUCAUGAUCCUGGAGUCCCGGGAUCGAGUCCUGCAUCAGGCUCCCUGCUCAGCAGGGAGUCUGCUUCUCCCUCUGGCCUUCCUCCCUCUCAUGCUCUCUCUCUCUCAUUCUCUCUCUCAAAUAAAUAAAUAAAAUCUUUAAAAAAAAAAGAAAAAGUAAAAAGGGGAAUAUUUCAUGACAUGUGACAAUGACAUGAAAUUCACAUUUCGGUGUCCAUCAAUAAAGCUUUAUUGGAACACAGCCCAGCCUAUUCGUUUAUGGGUUGUCCAUGGCAGCUUUCAUGCUGCAACGGCAGAGCCGAGUGGUUACAAUGAGACUAUAUGGACUGUGGACCAUAAAAUAGGCCCUAUCUGGCUCUUUGUAGGACAUGUUUGCUAACCACAAAGCAAGUCUAGUUGACUACAUGUUCUGUUUAUCCCUCCUUAGAACUGAUUUAAGGGGCCCUGUAUGUAGCAUUAUUGUGGAUCUGUAGUAUCUAAUAAAUUUUGCUGAUAUAUUCGAUUUAAUAUUAAAAUGGUAACACAUGUUGCCCUUACUUUGAAUGAACCCCAUAGAAAUGAAUCUUCUUCACUUGCAAUU